rnacentral:lncRNA from 1 species
GGGGUGACGUCAUCUCCGGGAAGGUGGCCGGCCCAGGGUUGUUAGAGCCAGCAUAACCACUUGGGCCGCUCUCGCCCCGUCAGAGGUCAGACCCAUUGCACUUCAGUAUCUCAGGCGGCACCCUGUCCCCGAGGAGGGGACCAUGACACAGGUUGUGAGUCCCGGCCCAGCCCCUCCACCCCCCUGCCCCCCCGAUGCGACCAUGGGCUCUGGCAGUGACUAGGUGGCCACCCUCCGCCCCCGUGGGCCAGCGGCGAUUCUCUGCGGGACCUGGCAGCACCCCGGGCCAGCUCUGGGGAAGCCGCCGUCCCGACCUCCACACCUCCCCGUAGAGGAGCGCCGAGCCUCGGCUCCUGCCGGCGGGAGCCCCCGAAUGCUGCACCCAGCCACCCAGCAGAGCCCGUUCAUGGUUGAUCUCCACGAGCAGGUAGGCAGAACCCCAUCCCCUGUGCCCCUGGCCCUGUGAGCCAGUCUGAGAGGCAGAGGCAGCAAGGCCUAGAUUUCACCUAGCUUGCUUCAUUUCACGUUCCAGGGAGGCAUUAUUGGCCCUGCUUUACAGGUAGGUAAACUGAGGCCCGGGGAAAGGGCCACACUGGGUGACUAGCAGAGCUAGAUUCCCACGGGGCUUUCUCUGCCCCGGGGGCCUGGGAGUAGAGGCACAGUCUGGUCUGCACUGAGGUAGGCCGCCGUGGAGAAGGGAAGGGAGCCGGCAGCUGGAUGUGGCAGGAUGAUUUCUCCUGAGAGUAGCCCUCGCGGUCAGCUUCCUUUUCAUACUUUCCCGGCGUUCUCUCCACCCACAGGUGCACCAGGGACCUGUCCCUCUGUCCUACACGGUCACCACAGUGACGACCCAAGGCUUCCCCUUGCCUACAGGCCAGCACAUCCCUGGCUGCAGUGCCCAGCAGCUCCCAGCAUGCUCCGUGAUGUUCAGUGGGCAGCAUUACCCCCUCUGCUGCCUCCCGCCCCCGCUUAUCCAGGCGUGCACCAUGCAGCAGCUGCCUGUGCCCUAUCAGGCCUACCCCCACCUCAUCUCCAGUGACCACUACAUCCUGC